CCCCGGUGCAUCCUGUGGCUUACGUCGUCGGCGGCGGAUCCAGCAGGAGGCACAUCUCGCCAGCGGCAGCGGCGCACCCCGCGGGCGUCAACGGGUGAAGUGAGCCGCUCAGAGGUUGAGCUGCAGUCGACUGCCACUGGUUUUGGUGCGCUGCUGCGACGCUCGUGCUCUGUUGGCUCCGUUCUUCGUCGGCGCCGGCCGUCGGGUAAGAGUUUCAGGUCAUUGAGUAAAGUAAGAUGUCACAAGAAAGGACAUCAGAGGAAGUUGUGUCUCCCUUUCUUAUGCAACUAUCGAAAGCUAGAGUUCUUUCGUUGACACUGGGUGAGGAUAGUUUGCAUGCAGAGAUCGAACUUCUGUUUAAAAAUAUCGAGAGAGAGACUCUUGACAUGGAGGAUAUACUAAAGCGAGUUUCCAAAUGGGAAAGUGAUAUUAUCAAUGACUUUGGAGGAAUAGCACGACAUUUAGAAGACAUCAUAGAAGAAGAUAGCCAGCAGCAAUUUGUACUUUCGAAGCUUCAGAUUGUGAACACUGAAAUGUCCUACCUAAAAGAUCGCAUGAAAUUUCCUCUCCAUGUUCCUUUGGUCAAGCCAGCAGCUCCUGCAGUGUUAUCACCAUCUUUACCAUUUAAAUUUUUGUCUGCAAACGCUUCAGAGCAAUGGAAAAAAUUGGAGAUCGAGAGGAAAAUCCUUGAGAGCUCCGCGUUAUCUGACUUGCAGCUCAGCUAUUAUAAUCUUGAUCUUCAGCUGAAGCUGUGCUUGUUAUGCUUUUCUAUAUUCCCAGAAAAUUCCAUUAUUAGCAAGAGGGCCAUGAUCUAUUGGUGGAUUGGUGAAGGGUUAGUAGAAGCCACAAGAAGUCAGACAGCCGAAGAUAUUGGGAAGGACUGCUUCCAGCGGUUGAUCAAUGCAGAGAUGAUUGAACUUGUACGUCAUAAACGUAACUGUAGUGUGAACCAAUGUAAGUUGCACCCUUGGAUUCGGCGUAUGUUGAUUACUGUUGCAAGACAAGAACGAUUUUUUGAAUUCGAUUCCGAUGGAAAUGCAACAUGGGACUUUUCAGGUACUCACCGUGCUUGCCUUGCUGGAGAACAUAUUCGGGUAAUAGAAACGGCAUCACCCAGAAAUCAGUCCAAUCCCGAUCACCUUCUCACAAUAUUUAAUGUGAGCGAACAAUACCUCCAGUUCGAGAAGAAUUGGUUUUUUGAGUUGAGGAAAAUCGAAGUUCUCCAUCUAGGUCGGUGGAAUAACUUGUACCGACACCAUAUUGAGGUUGACAGCACUGAAUAUUUUGAUGGACUGCAGUCAUCCAAACAAUUGAAAUAUCUUUGUCUGCGGGGUAUCUCCCGUAUUACUGAGCUUCCUUCUUCAAUUGGUGCUCUCCCAAAUCUCAGGAUCUUGGAUCUUCAUGCUUGUCAUAACCUUGAGAGACUGAGUGAGAGCAUCACGUCUCUUCAGAUGCUGACCCACCUUGACGUUUCAGAAUGCUACCUGCUGGAGGGUAUGCCAAGGGGCAUUGGUUUGCUUACUGAACUCCAAGUGCUGAAAGGGUUUGUCAUUGGUGGAUCUACAGGCAAUUACAAUUGUCGGGUAGCGGAGCUGGUCAGGCUGGACAAACUGAAGAAGCUAAGCAUAUAUAUUGGAAGUAAAGUUGUAGUGACAGAAGACGAACUGAAUGAAGUUGCAAACAUUAAAGCUCUUCGUGUGCUGACCAUUACAUGGGCUGUGUUGCUAUCAAAGAAAGGAGUGAGCCAACAAGAUUCUGCAGCAACAGCAUUGUUAACUUCACUAUCCCUUCCUCCCCAUCUCGAAAAGCUAGACUUACGUUGCUUCCCUGGUGAGAACAUGCCGGUUUGGUUGAGUCCGAGUAGGCUGUUGAGACUGCAGAGGCUCUACUUCACAGGAGGAAUGCUACAGACUUUUGGAGACAAGAGCAUGUCCGAGCUGUGGAACAUUGAGAUAUUGCGUUUGAAAUUCUUGAAUUACCUAGUGUUAGAAUGGACCCAGGUGCACGAGAUGUUUCCGAACCUUACUUUCCUGGAGGUCUUCAGAUGUACCAAUAUAAAAUCUUUCCCUUGUGACAAGGAUGGAGUGUGGAUGAACUGUGACACCCAUGAAACCAUAGAGUAGAACAGAAAACCAAAUCAAGCUUUUCAUGCCGGGAGAGAAGCAAGUUUUUCCGGAAAACAAGUUUGAGCAGUCCCUACUGAAGUUCCGCAAGUUAUAAUAUGUUGCCUACUUCACAAUUCCACCACUCAAGCUAAGUUCCUGGCUAGAAGUUGAUGCUGGUGAUGACAGUCUAUCUGCAAAGAUGUCUGCCAUCGCCUUGGCCAUUGACGGUAGCCCACUGCAGGUCUCAAGAAUUU